rnacentral:lncRNA from 1 species
GGCAGAAUCAUGGUGGACAUAAUGGAACUCCCCAAAGCGCGCGUCAACGCCAGCAUGUUAUCACAGUAUAUCGAACGACCCGUGUGCUUCGUGGGGAAGCUGGAAAAGGUGCGUGCGGGUUCGAGCGACACGACGGGAUCCGCAGCCAUUAGGGAAUGGCUGCGGGGUAGGGAGCGGAGGUUGGGAGCAGGUAACCUUUAAGCAGCAUUGCCUUCCAGCUUGCUUUAGUUUUCACAAGAAGAGCUUUUCCACGGCUAAGCCAUUGCCUCUCCAUUUCGGUGCCGCUUCUUUUAUUUCUCAAAAACUGUUUCGAAAGAUCUUUUAGUUCCGAGCGCUCCGCGCCCCCUCUCUGUAUUUACCAGAA